rnacentral:rRNA from 1 species
GKGCAUUUCCCUAAUUCCCCUCUCCUAGUAGGACGCCGCGACCGGCUGUCGAGGGGAGCCCAKGAGCUGAUUGGAGCAGCUGCGCGGACGAGUAAGGGACUUGCUCUCUGCGUAUGGUCUGUCUGUCUCCUUUCAAUUGGUGGGUUGCUUCCUCCGGCCGAGGAUACGUGCGAGUUGAACCUCUCGGGGUUCCUCGUCCAUGUACGUGCCUACGACUGUUAACGUUGCGGGUCGACAAAACCCCACGGGUGGCAGCGGGAUUCUGCGCGCCAGUCCUAGUGAUUGCGCGUGUCGGUUUCCUUUAGUCAGCCACCGUCGGUCAAGGUAUUGACUCCCGCUUUAUGGGCGCUAGGGGUCGGCGGCGAGUAGGUCGGUUUCCCACCCGACCCGUCUUGAAACACGGACCAAGAAGUCUAAUGUGCGGGCGAGUCUUCGGGGUAAUGAUAACCCUUGGAAGGCGAAAUGAAAGUGAAGGUUUGGUAGAUCACGUUUCGGCGUGGUCACCAGCCUGGGUGGGAUCCAUCGUCUAAUGGCGAAGGCGCACCACCGGCCCGUC